rnacentral:rRNA from 1 species
UACGUAGGGGGCAAGCGUUGUCCGGAUUUAUUGGGCGUAAAGGGUGCGUAGGCGGCCUUUUAAGUCAGAUGUGAAAGGUCACGGCUCAACCGUGGUAAGCAUUUGAAACUGAAAGGCUUGAGUUAAGGAGAGGAAAGUGGAAUUCCUAGUGUAGCGGUGAAAUGCGUAGAGAUUAGGAGGAAUACCAGUGGCGAAGGCGACUUUCUGGACUUAUACUGACGCUGAGGCACGAAAGCGUGGGGAGCGAACAGGAUUAGAUACCCUGGUAGUCCACGCCGUAAACGAUGAGCGCUAGGUGUUGGGGGUCAAACCUCGGUGCCGCAGCUAACGCAUUAAGCGCUCCGCCUGGGGAGUACGUGCGCAAGCAUGAA